UACAGAGGUGGCAAGCGUUGUUCGGCAUUACUGGGCGUAAAGCGCGCGCAGGCGGCUCUUUAAGUCUACCCGUGAAAUGCCGGAGCUCAACUCCGUGCACGCCGGGGGAUACUGGAGAGCUGGAGACGAGUAGAGGCAAGCGGAAUUCCGGGUGUAGCGGUGGAAUGCGUAGAGAUCCGGAAGAACACCGGAGGCGAAGGCGGCUUGCUGGGCUUGGUCUGACGCUGAGGCGCGAAAGCGUGGGGAGCAAACAGG
rnacentral:rRNA from 1 species